AACGAACGCUGGCGGCAGGCCUAACACAUGCAAGUCGAGCGCGCCUUUCGGGGUGAGCGGCGGACGGGUUAGUAACGCGUGGGAAUAUGCCCAAAGGUACGGAAUAGCCUCUGGAAACGGAGAGUAAUACCGUAUGUGCCCUUCGGGGGAAAGAUUUAUCGCCUUUGGAUUAGCCCGCGUUAGAUUAGGUAGUUGGUGGGGUAAUGGCCUACCAAGCCUACGAUCUAUAGCUGGUUUUAGAGGAUGAUCAGCAACACUGGGACUGAGACACGGCCCAGACUCCUACGGGAGGCAGCAGUGGGGAAUCUUGGACAAUGGGGGCAACCCUGAUCCAGCCAUGCCGCGUGAGUGAAGAAGGCCCUAGGGUCGUAAAGCUCUUUCGCCUGUGAAGAUAAUGACGGUAGCAGGUAAAGAAACCCCGGCUAACUCCGUG
rnacentral:rRNA from 1 species